rnacentral:rRNA from 1 species
GACGAACGCUGGCGGCGUGCCUAAUACAUGCAAGUAGAACGCACAGUUUAUACCGUAGCUUGCUACACCAUAGACUGUGAGUUGCGAACGGGUGAGUAACGCGUAGGUAACCUGCCUGGUAGCGGGGGAUAACUAUGGGAAACGAUAGCUAAUACCGCAUAAUAUUAAUUAUUGCAUGAUAAUUAAUUGAAAGGUGCAAUUGCACCACUACCAGAGGGACCUGCGUUGUAUUAGCUAGUAGGUGAGGUAACGGCUCACCUAGGCGACGAUACAUAGCCGACCUGAGAGGGUGAUCGGCCACACUGGGACUGAGACACGGCCCAGACUCCUACGGGAGGCAGCAGUAGGGAAUCUUCGGCAAUGGACGAAAGUCUGACCGAGCAACGCCGCGUGAGUGAAGAAGGGUUUCGGAUCGUAAAGCUCUGUUGCAAGAGAAGAACGGGUGUGAGAGUGGAAAGUUCACACUGUGACGGUAUCUUACCAGAAAGGGACGGCUAACUACGUG